rnacentral:rRNA from 1 species
GACGAACGCUGGCGGCGUGCUUAACACAUGCAAGUCGAACGGAAAGGCCCUGCUUUUGUGGGGUGCUCGAGUGGCGAACGGGUGAGUAACACGUGAGUAACCUGCCCUUGACUUUGGGAUAACUUCAGGAAACUGGGGCUAAUACCGGAUAGGAGCUCCUGCUGCAUGGGGGGGGUUGGAAAGUUUCGGCGGUUGGGGAUGGACUCGCGGCUUAUCAGCUGGUUGGGGGGGUAGUGGCUUACCAAGGCUUUGACGGGUAGCCGGCCUGAGAGGGUGACCGGCCACAUUGGGACUGAGAUACGGACCAGACUCCUACGGGAGGCAGCAGUGGGGAAUAUUGCACAAUGGGCGGAAGCCUGAUGCAGCAACGCCGCGUGCGGGAUGACGGCCUUCGGGUUGUAAACCGCUUUAGCCUGUGACGAAGCGUGAGUGACGGUAAUGGGUAAAGAAGCACCGGCUAACUACGUG